ACGCACGCUGGCGGCGUGCCUAAUACAUGCCAGUCGAACGAGAGCGACCGGUGCUUGCACUGGUCAAUCUAGUGGCGAACGGGUGAGUAACACGUGGGUAACCUGCCCAUCAGAGGGGGAUAACAUCCGGAAACGGAUGCUAAAACCGCAUAGGUCUUCGAACCGCAUGGUUUGAAGAGGAAAAGAGGCGCAAGCUUCUGCUGAUGGAUGGACCCGCGGUGCAUUAGCUAGUUGGUGAGGUAACGGCUCACCAAGGCCGUGAUGCAUAGCCGACCUGAGAGGGUGAUCGGCCACAUUGGGACUGAGACACGGCCCAAACUCCUACGGGAGGCAGCAGUAGGGAAUCUUCCGCAAUGGACGCAAGUCUGACGGAGCAACGCCGCGUGAGUGAAGAAGGUUUUCGGAUCGUAAAACUCUGUUGUUAGAGAAGAACAAGUGCUAGAGUAACUGUUAGCGCCUUGACGGUAUCUAACCAGAAAGCCACGGCUAACUACGUG
rnacentral:rRNA from 1 species